AUAUAUAUAUAUAUAUAUAUAUAUAUAUAUAUAGUAAUUUAUUAUAUUUGUUAUAUAUUAAUAUGUGUGAAAUUGUUUUAUUUACAAAUACAUUCAAAAAAAGAAGAAAAAAAAAUCUUUUCCAUGAAAUAAAUGGAUUUGGUCAGGAAAGGAAAUAGCGUGCAAUAAAUAACAUUUACAGUGACCUAAGAAUAUUAUGGUCCUGCAUACAGAAUACAAAACAAGAUUUUAAGAUUUACAACACCAUGCUUGUAAACAACAAGACUAUGUUAUUACAAAUGUUUUGUUCAACAAUGUACCGUAUAACAAACUGGAUAAAUGUGACACGUGUUUUUAAACCCACUGUUUUUAACAAUAUAACAGUCAGUAAAACUCAUUUUUAUUAAUAAAUUUUUUGUUUGUUAGAAUAAUAUAAUCUAGACUAAACACAAAUCUAGACUGGAAUACAAACCUGUACGAUUAAAUGCAGAAUAUUGAUUUUUUUUUAAUAAAAUUGCAUUGAUCUUUGAUCAUAAAAA